GUCUAACCUGCCCAAUGAGUAGUUGAAUGGCCGCAGUAUUUUGACUGUGCAAAGGUAGCAUAAUCAUUAGUUUCUUAAUUAGUAACUGGAAUGAAAGGUUGGACGAGAAAAUAACUGUCUCUUUAUAAAUUAUUUAGAAUUUUAUUUUUAAGUUAAAAAGCUUAAAUUUAUUUAAAAGACGAGAAGACCCUAUAGAGUUUUAUAUAAUUAUAUUUAAUAAUUUGAAUUGAAUUUUAAAAAUUUUACUUAAUAUUAUAUUUGAUUGGGGUGAUUGAAAAAUUUAAUAAACUUUUUUUUAAUAAAAACAUUAAUUUAUGAUUUAUUGAUCCAUUAUUUUAUGAUUAAAAGAUUAAAUUACCUUAGGGAUAACAGCGUAAUUUCUUUUUAGAGUUCUAAUCGAUAAAGAAGUUUGCGACCUCGAUGUUGGAUUAAAAUUUAAUUUUGGUGUAGAAGCUAAAAAAAUUA
rnacentral:rRNA from 1 species